UGUCGCACGCUAGCGCAGUUUUGUGUUGCGGCGGGAGAUGUUGAGGCGAGUUGGGUUUCGCCGCUUGUGGCGGCGGCUUGGGACGCCUCGGAUCUCUUCGGAGGAUGGCGCUCGUCGGGAGGUCACUUCUAGUGUCCCUACCUCCGGUGGUACCGUGUCUAGAGCCCUAAAUAUCUUCGACCGGGAUUUGAAGAGGAAACAGAAGAACUGGGCGGCCCGGCUGCCUGAACCGAUGAAGUUUGACUACCUGAAGGAGGAGGUUGGAAGUCGGAUUGCAGACCGUAUAUAUGACAUAGCCAGAGAAUUCCCCCUUGCUUUGGAUGUUGGCUGUGGAAGAGGCUAUAUAGCACAACAUUUGAAUAAGGAAACUGUUGGAAAGUUUUUCCAAACAGACAUUGCAGAAAACGCAUUGAAAAAUUCCCUAGGAACAGAUAUUCCUACUAUCAGUGUUCUAGCUGAUGAAGAAUUUCUUCCCUUUCAAGAAAAUACAUUUGACCUUGUGGUUAGCAGUUUAAGUUUGCACUGGGUAAAUGACCUUCCUAGAGCACUUGAGCAGAUUCAUUAUGUUUUAAAACCAGAUGGAGUGUUUGUUGGGGCAAUGUUUGGAGGCGACACGCUCUAUGAACUUCGGUGUUCACUACAGUUGGCAGAGACAGAAAGGGAAGGAGGGUUUUCUCCACAUAUUUCUCCUUUCACUGCUGUUAAUGACUUAGGACAUCUGCUAGGAAGAGCUGGCUUCAAUACAUUGACUGUGGACACUGAUGAAAUUCAAGUUAAUUAUCCUGGAAUGUUUGAAUUAAUGGAAGAUUUACAAGGUAUGGGUGAGAGUAACUGUUCUUGGAAUAGAAAAGCCCUGCUGCACCGAGACACAAUGCUGGCAGCUGCAGCAGUUUACAGAGACUUGAAUCAUUAUUUGCCUCUGUAGAAAUGUAUGGAAAUGAGGAUGGCUCAGUACCCGCAACAUACCAGAUCUAUCACAUGAUAGGAUGGAAAUAUCAUGACUCUCAGGCAAGACCAGCUGAAAGAGGUUCUGCAACUGUGUCGUUUGGAGAGCUAGGAAAACUAAAUAAUCUCAUGUAACGGGAAAAGUUACAAUAAAUGUCUUAUGCAGUGUUUAUGUAUUCCAGAAUUUUCAUCAGAAAUGAGUAGCUCUCACAAAUAAAAUGAUUAGAUAUUAGA